rnacentral:sRNA from 1 species
UAAUUCUAAUGUAAAAUAGGGUCUAUGGUUUGUAAUGCUGUAUCAAUAUUGAUUUAUUUAUUGUAACUAAUGUAUCAUAUUGACGUGGAGUAUUAGUGGGGAAGGGGUGUGUGUGUGUGUGUGUGUGUGUGCGCGCGCGCGUGCGCACGCACUAGCACACAUUAU